rnacentral:lncRNA from 1 species
GUCGACUGCCAUAGAAACUCGGAUGGGGUCUGGCUACUGUAGAAGUCCUACUGUUGGAGAAGCUCGAACAUUGACGAAGUCCGGAAGAAGUUCGGUUGGGAUCUAGCUCUUGUAGAAGCUCGAACAGUCGGAGGAGGUUCAGAAAGACGCCACGCAAGGUCGGAAGCUGGAAAAGCCCCAGAAGGGUCGGCCUUUUACAAACUCGACUAGGGAUAUUUUAUACCCAAUAAUGUCAUAAUAUGGGAGGGAUAUUUUUGUUCAACCAUUUUUUAAUACGUAUUUAAUGCUUGCAGUUCUAUUUUUUUAUUUGAAAUUUUGAAUAACAAAAAUAUCUCUGCUCUUUGGAAAAGAUUAUAAUAUCUUAUGGCAUAUUAU